AACGCGAAGAACCUUACCUGGUCUUGACAUUUACAGAACCUGGCAGAGAUGCCGGGGUGCCUUCGGGAACUGCGAGACAGGUGCUGCAUGGCUGUCGUCAGCUCGUGUUGUGAAAUGUUGGGUUAAGUCCCGCAACGAGCGCAACCCUUAUCCUUUGUUGCCAGCGGUCCGGCCGGGAACUCAAAGGAGACUGCCAGUGAUAAACUGGAGGAAGGUGGGGAUGACGUCAAGUCAUCAUGGCCCUUACGACCAGGGCUACACACGUGCUACAAUGGCGCAUACAAAGAGAAGCGACCUCGCGAGAGCAAGCGGACCUCAUAAAGUGCGUCGUAGUCCGGAUUGGAGUCUGCAACUCGACUCCAUGAAGUCGGAAUCGCUAGUAAUCGUGAAUCAGAAUGUCACGGUGAAUACGUUCCCGGGCCUUGUACACACCGCCCGU
rnacentral:rRNA from 1 species